GUAUGAAAGGAGGGAAGCAGCUAUAAAUUAGAAGGGAGAUAAGAAAGUGAAGAUAUUUACUAGACUCUGCCUUUGCUUGCAGUUCUCUGGCUUGAUUGAGGAGGUUCUCACUUUCAUCUUUAUGGGACUUUGGCUAAAAAAAAUAAACUGUCAAAGGAACUGGCAUUUGCUGACUGGACUACAGCACAUCUCGAAGAAUCUGCAGACUGAAACCUUCAAGGCAUUCAUGAAAUGGUCUUUCCUUAGUUCCCCUGCCCUUUCCACUCUUUCUGCCAUUUGGAUUUCACACUGGAAGUUCAAGAGAUGACAUCAGAAAACAGAAAAGCCAGUGGGAAAGGCAAGGUAUAAAGAACUUUCAGGGAAUACUCACAUCAUAAAUUCGGUCAGUGGUGUUCAAAGCAAAUUCUGCUGUUUCAUUGGCUUCACUAACAUAAUUAACAAUAUUUUCAUAGACAUUUGAUGCAUCCAAAGCCUUCUGUACCAGCCCGUUCAUAUCUGAACUGUGCAACUUCCUGUUAAUAAACAAACAUUGUUAUUU
rnacentral:antisense_RNA from 1 species